GUCGGCCUGUCCAAUGUCCUCCACCUGCUCCCUCUCAGCGCACGUCCCGGUUGUCGUUCCUUCUAUUUCUGCACCUUUUCUUUGGUUGACAUGGUGGUUGAUGUGGUCUCUGCCUCCUCUGUCUGACAGGGAGCCCAGGGGACCCACAGUGCCCGGCUGACUCCAUUGUGCUCCUGAGCUUGCGCCUGGCGCACAGCCCGUGCUAACGUACAGUAGAAGGAGCUGCAGAAAUUGCUAGCAAGGGAGGGAGGACGAAUGAGUCACACGGAGCCCUGCUGUGGCCUCAGGGCUGGCCAGCUCCGCCCCGAGAGGCUGGGAGCAUCUCCCUGAGAAGCAAUCCUGUAGAAGCUCCAGGAGCCUCUGGUGACCCGGGGUCUCCCUGCCCAGGCCACCCCUCCCUCUGCACCCCCUUUGCCCCAGUGAACAGCCCAGUGGAUGCCCCCGGCUCAGGGCCCCCUGGGCCUGUGCAGCUGCCUCUGCAGCCAGUGCUGGAGGCUGGAAGUCCACGGUCAACACACCUGGAGAGCUCUCUUCCUGGUUCACGGACGGCACCUUCUGGCUGCGUCCUCACAUGGUGGAAGGGGCGAGGGGGCUCUCUGGGGUCUGUUUCAUUAGGGCGCUGAUCCCAUUCAUGGGGCCUCCACCCUCAUGACCUCAUCACCUCCCAAAGGUCCCGCCAACAAAUACCGUGUGUCUGAGGGUUAGGAUUUCAACACACGAGCUUUGUGGGGGCACAACACUCAGACCACCCAGGAUGUGUAUGCAGGUGGCAUAGCAGGGGCUGGAGGGUGGUCUGUCCAGUCCUACCGUGCAGCCGUCACCCACCUACCCAGCACGAGGCCCGCAGAGUGGGACCCUGCACCCGGACACACCCCCCGCGGCGGUGGGGGAGACCGCCCGGGCACAACAGAGCUCAAGAAUGACCCUAAGCGUGUGAAGAUAGACCUGCCCUACCCAGGACGGUCGCCACGAACUGCAUGUGGCUAUCGGGUGCUUGAAAUGUGCUGGUCCAAAUUGAGAUCUCCCAGGUAUGGACCCCAAAGAAUCGAAAACAGGUGUUCAGAUAAAUUCUCGUGCACGCAUGUACAUAGCAGCAUUAUUCACAAGAGCCCAAAGGUAGAAACAUCCCAGAUGCCCAUCAACAGAUGAACAGAUGAAGAAAACGUGGUGUACAUAUGCAGCGAAAUACGCUCCAGCCAUAAAAGGGAAGGAAGCCCGGAUACAGGCUGCAGCGUGGACGGACCUUGGAAACAUUAUGCUCAGCAAAGGAAACCAG
rnacentral:lncRNA from 1 species